UACGUAGGUACCGAGCGUUAUCCGGAUUUACUGGGCGUAAAGCGCGUUCAGGCGGUUUGGCAAGUCGGGCAUGAAAUCUCUCGGCUCAACCGGGAGAGGUUGUCCGAUACUGCUGGACUUGAGGGCAGUAGAGGGUGGUGGAAUUCCGGGUGUAGUGGUGAAAUGCGUAGAUAUCCGGAGGAACACCAGUGGCGAAAGCGGCCACCUGGACUGCACCUGACGCUGACACGCGAAAGCGUGGGGAGCAAACGGG
rnacentral:rRNA from 1 species